rnacentral:rRNA from 1 species
GGAUUAGGCAUGCAAGUCGAACGAGAACCCCGCAAGGGGUGAAAGUGGCAAACGGCGUAGUAAGGCGUAGGUGACGUACCUCCCGAUUCGGGAUAGCUACGGGAAACUGUAGGUAAUACCGGAUAAUCCCUCCGAGAUUGAAAAUCGGAGUGCAAAGGUGUGAUUCCGUCAGGAGAGCGGCUUACGUGGUAUUAGCUAGUUGGUGAGGUAAUGGCUCACCAAGGCUUCGAUGCCUAGGGGGUGUUAGCGCAUGACCCCCACGACUGGGACUGAGAUACUGCCCAGACACCUACGGGUGGCUGCAGUCGAGAAUCUUCGGCAAUGGGCGCAAGCCUGACCGAGCGACGCCGCGUGUGGGAUGAAGGCCCUUGGGUUGUAAACCACUGUCAGAGGGGAUGAAAUGCGGGUGGGUUCUCCCAUCCGUUUGACAUAGCCUCAGAGGAAGCACGGGCUAAGUUCGUGCCAGCAGCCGCGGUAAUA